GGGCUUGUGGCUCAGUGAUAGAGUGCUCGCCUAGCAUGCGUGAGGCACUGGGUUCAAUCCUCAGCACCA
rnacentral:tRNA from 1 species